rnacentral:rRNA from 1 species
UCAACCGAGAUUCCCCCAGUAGCGGCGAGCGAACGGGGAGCAGCCCAGAGCCUGAAUCAGUGUGUGUGUUAGUGGAAGCGUCUGGAAAGGCGCGCGAUACAGGGUGACAGCCCCGUACACAAAAAUGCACAUGCUGUGAGCUCGAUGAGUAGGGCGGGACACGUGGUAUCCUGUCUGAAUAUGGGGGGACCAUCCUCCAAGGCUAAAUACUCCUGACUGACCGAUAGUGAACCAGUACCGUGAGGGAAAGGCGAAAAGAACCCCGGCGAGGGGAGUGAAAAAGAACCUGAAACCGUGUACGUACAAGCAGUGGGAGCACGCUUAGGCGUGUGACUGCGUACCUUUUGUAUAAUGGGUCAGCGACUUAUAUUCUGUAGCAAGGUUAACCGAAUAGGGGAGCCGAAGGGAAACCGAGUCUUAACUGGGCGUUAAGUUGCAGGGUAUAGACCCGAAACCCGGUGAUCUAGCCAUGGGCAGGUUGAAGGUUGGGUAACACUAACUGGAGGACCGAACCGACUAAUGUUGAAAAAUUAGCGGAUGACUUGUGGCUGGGGGUGAAAGGCCAAUCAAACCGGGAGAUAGCUGGUUCUCCCCGAAAGCUAUUUAGGUAGCGCCUCGUGAAUUCAUCUCCGGGGGUAGAGCACUGUUUCGGCAAGGGGGUCAUCCCGACUUACCAACCCGAUGCAAACUGCGAAUACCGGAGAAUGUUAUCACGGGAGACACACGGCGGGUGCUAACGUCCGUCGUGAAGAGGGAAACAACCCAGACCGCCAGCUAAGGUCCCAAAGUCAUGGUUAAGUGGGAAACGAUGUGGGAAGGCCCAGACAGCCAGGAUGUUGGCUUAGAAGCAGCCAUCAUUUAAAGAAAGCGUAAUAGCUCACUGGUCGAGUCGGCCUGCGCGGAAGAUGUAACGGGGCUAAACCAUGCACCGAAGCUGCGGCAGCGACGCUGAUGCGUUGUUGGGUAGGGGAGCGUUCUGUAAGCCUGCGAAGGUGUGCUGUGAGGCAUGCUGGAGGUAUCAGAAGUGCGAAUGCUGACAUAAGUAACGAUAAAGCGGGUGAAAAGCCCGCUCGCCGGAAGACCAAGGGUUCCUGUCCAACGUUAAUCGGGGCAGGGUGAGUCGACCCCUAAGGCGAGGCCGAAAGGCGUAGUCGAUGGGAAACAGGUUAAUAUUCCUGUACUUGGUGUUACUGCGAAGGGGGGACGGAGAAGGCUAUGUUGGCCGGGCGACGGUUGUCCCGGUUUAAGCGUGUAGGCUGGUUUUCCAGGCAAAUCCGGAAAAUCAAGGCUGAGGCGUGAUGACGAGGCACUACGGUGCUGAAGCAACAAAUGCCCUGCUUCCAGGAAAAGCCUCUAAGCAUCAGGUAACAUCAAAUCGUACCCCAAACCGACACAGGUGGUCAGGUAGAGAAUACCAAGGCGCUUGAGAGAACUCGGGUGAAGGAACUAGGCAAAAUGGUGCCGUAACUUCGGGAGAAGG